rnacentral:rRNA from 1 species
UACGUAGGGUGCAAGCGUUGUCCGGAAUUAUUGGGCGUAAAGAGCUCGUAGGCGGCUUGUCGCGUCGGCUGUGAAAACCUGGGGCUUAACUCGUGGCCUGCAGUUGAGACUGUCUGGCUUGAGUGUGGGAGAGGAGAGUGGAAUUCCUGGUGUAGCGGUGAAAUGCGUAGAUAUCAGGAGGAACACCGGUGGCGAAGGCGGCUCUCUAGACCACAACUGACGCUGAGGCGCGAAAGCGUGGGGAGCAAACAGG